rnacentral:lncRNA from 1 species
AGCACCUCUGUUGGACCAUGCUAAGAUAGAAAAGACAGCCAAGAGCUGAGCCAGGCACAGGCCAGCAUUGAGUGCUCAGAAACGACACCUGAAAAAUGUGCUGUCUGGGGGGCCUGGAGCUGAGAGGUGACGUCGCUCAUCAGAGACCUUGUCAAAGGCCAGUUCAGUGAAGAGCGGAGAGGACUGAAGUGAGCGGAGGGGAGGAAGUGUAGACCAUGAGAGGAAAGAAAUAAGCAUCAGCAUCAGCUCAAGGGUGGUCACCUAGGACGUGUCAUCAUCACAGGAGGAAGGACUGGAGUCUUCAGGCCUCUAUGCCAUUGACUGUUCACGGCCUGGCUGACCCCUUUCUCAGGAUGUCCUACAACAGCCGGAGCCCAGAGGACAGAGCCCAGGCUGAGAGUCAGCAAGCGGAGGGAGCACUCUGCCCUGAAGCCUGGGCUCACUCCCUGCAC